GUGAGCUUUGCACAAGUUGGCCAAUUAUAUUAGAGUUAUUGUUUGUGUAUUUAUGUAAGCAAGAGAAUAAUGUAUGAAAAGUUUACAGUAUGUGAAAGCCAACAUGCACAUGUACAUGUAAUGCUCAGUGAAUGGAAUUAAACUAUGAAUUCUUUUAUUUUAACUGUGGCUCUUCACAAAGUAAUAGCAGUCAAGACAUGAUCUUCAACCAAAUGGACACAGUUUUAAAAUUCAUGUUUCAGAUGACUUGCAUCCAUCGUGAGUUACAGGAAAAUCACUUAAUUUAUAAUAAUUUUUUUCACAUUGAUCAGCAUUCUUUUGUGAUCACAACUCUGAUAGAUGCAGGUUUAUUAUGAUACAUGCACUUUAAUUUUAAAUUUAAAACUGUUUGCAAUGCAUAGAUUUAAUUGUAGAAGGUACAGUUUAUUAUCAUGGUACACAUCUCUACAAAAGACUCAUUAAUUUAUUUAUUAUUAAUAUAUUGUGGUUUUGUGCUUUUUAAAACUUUUUGACUGUCAAUGACAUGUUCAUAUUUUAAUUAGUUAUUUUAACAUUGCUGUAAAAGUUAAUUGACACAAGCAUGUACAUGUACAUAAUAAGACUGUCAGUAUUAUUGUUGGCAUAAGAAAUGUUUUUGUUUGUUGUUGUUACCAGUUUUUUAUAAUUUUAUGUGGUAAGUAGUUACACAUGUUCAUUGUAUUUGAAUGUUAUUCUGUAGAUAAGUGAUAUUACAGAAGCUUCAAAAUCUGAAGAAGAACCUGAAAAAGCUGAGCAUCUGGAUUCUGCAACAUCAAACCAAAUCCCUGCUACGGUGAUGCCACAGUUGCCACCUGAACCUGCAGGACGCUGUUCAAACAAACUUCAGGAGAAGAUUAUGAAACUCUUGGAAAAGAAACACAGAGGAAACCUUGAUUUAAAUACCAAUAUACAAAAGAGGAAAGACUUCAGAAAUCCAAGGUGAGUACAUGAAAGGGAUCACAUUA